UUCUUCAUGCAGUGUCAGUAUUACAGCCAAUGAGUUUUAUUCAAGGCAAGAUUAUUGCUAUUGGAAAACUUUCCCUAAUUACCCUGCUCUGACAACUUGCAACAUAGAUGGCAUUGGCAAUUUUUGACAGUCACUAUGGAGA